AGCCUCCCGAGUAGCUGGGACUACAGGCACCCGCCACCUCGCCCGGCUAAUUUUUUGUAUUUUUAGUAGAGACGGGGUUUCACUGUGUUAGCCAGGAUGGUCUCGAUCUCCUGACCUCGUGAUCCACCCGCCUCGGCCUCCCAAAGUCCUGGGAUUACGGGCGUGAGCCACCGCGCCCGGCCUAUACUGGUCUCUCUACUCCUCUGCGUCCUGCAACACAGGAGCCCUCAUAAGGAAAUGAAGACCCAAAGAAGUAGUUGGUGUCAGUUACUUCUACACCGAAUUGGACAAAGAAUACCAGAGCCUAAGCCUGGAGACCUGAUUGAGAUUUUUCGCCCUUUCUACAGACACUGGGCCAUCUAUGUUGGCGAUGGAUAUGUGGUUCAUCUGGCCCCUCCAAGUGAGGUCGCAGGAGCUGGUGCAGCCAGUG
rnacentral:lncRNA from 10 species